rnacentral:snoRNA from 1 species
AAACCAUGGUGCAGGCACUCUCUUUGCAAAUCCUUGAAUCUCUCUCAGACCUCGAACAAACUCUCAUCUGCUUGUUGUGAGA